rnacentral:rRNA from 1 species
CCAAUAGCGUAUAUUAAAGUUGUUGCAGUUAAAAAGCUCGUAGUUGAAUUUCGGGAUCAAUUUACUGGUCGUGCUAUUGUACGUACUGGUUUUAUUGGUUUCUACCUUCUGACGAACCAUGAUGUCAUUAAUUUGGUGUUAUGGGGAAUCAGGACUGUUACUUUGAAAAAAUUAGAGUGUUUAAAGCAGGCUCACGCUUGCAUCCAUUAGCAUGGAAUAACGAAAUAGGACGUUUGAUUCUAUUUUGUUGGUUUCUAGGAUCGACGUAAUGAUUAAUAGGGAUAGUUGGGGGCAUUAGUAUUCAAUUGUCAGAGGUGAAAUUCUUGGAUUUAUUGAAGACUAACUACUGCGAAAGCAUUUGCCAAGGAUGUUUUCAUUAAUCAAGAACGAAAGUUAGGGGAUCGAAGACGAUCAGAUACCGUCGUAGUCUUAACCAUAAACUAUGCCGACUAGGGAUCGGAUGAUGUUAAUUUUUUAAUGAUUCAUUCGGCGCCUUACG